UACGUAGGCAGCAAGCGUUGUUCGGAAUUACUGGGCGUAAAGCGUGCGUAGACGGUUAUGUAAGUCGGGUGUGAAAGCCCCGGGCUCAACCUGGGAAUGCCAUUCGAGACUGCAUAGCUAGGGUGCGGAAGAGGGAAGCGGAAUUUCCGGUGUAGCGGUGAAAUGCGUAGAUAUCGGAAGGAACACCAGUGGCGAAAGCGGCUUCCUGGUCCAGCACCGACGUCAGGCACGAAAGCGUGGGGAGCAAACAGG
rnacentral:rRNA from 1 species